UCUGCAGUCCUCUUACCUGCUGUGCCCACCA
rnacentral:piRNA from 1 species